GGGUGUGAGGGUGGCCUGUCACCCCAUUAGUCGCCAGGAUUGAUUUGGCUGAUCUGGCUGGCUAGGCAACUGUGUGUCCCUUUCCUCUCUCACCACUCUGUGCAUGUCCCUCUGGAAGCUGUGUGCUCGGUUGAAGAGAACGACCUGACCUUCCUGGUAGAGGAGGACCAUUCUUUGGUCAAGGAUAUUCGAGCAGCUGUGCUCACUGCUAGAGCCCCCAGACAAGCUCUUAAAAAGCUUUACUUUUUGGAGUAUUUUAAAUUUCAAAUUUUCAGAUUAGGGAUGCUCAACCUGAGUUACUUAUCU
rnacentral:snRNA from 1 species